GACGUAGGAGGCGAGCGUUGUCCGGAAUCAUUGGGCGUAAAGAGCGUGUAGGCGGCCCGGUAAGUCCGCUGUGAAAGUCCAGGGCUCAACCCUGGGAUGCCGGUGGAUACUGUCGGGCUCGAGUCCGGAAGAGGAGUGUGGAAUUCCUGGUGUAGCGGUGAAAUGCGCAGAUAUCAGGAGGAACACCAAUGGCGAAGGCAGCACUCUGGGACGUGACUGACGCUGAGACGCGAAAGCGUGGGGAGCAAACAGG
rnacentral:rRNA from 1 species